rnacentral:rRNA from 1 species
GACGAACCGUGCGAACGUUGUUCGGAAUCACUGGGCUUAAAGGGCGCGUAGGCGGGUUCCCAAGUUCGGGGUGAAAUCUUUCGGCUUAACCGGAAAACAGCCUUGAAUACUGGGAGUCUCGAGCGAGGUAGGGGCAGCUGGAACUUCCGGUGGAGCGGUGAAAUGCGUUGAUAUCGGAAGGAACGCCGGUGGCGAAAGCGAGCUGCUGGACCUUUUCUGACGCUGAGGCGCGAAAGCCAGGGGAGGCAAACGGG